rnacentral:rRNA from 1 species
AAACCAGCACCUCAAGUGGUCAGGAUGAUUAUUGGGCCUAAAGCAUCCGUAGCCUGAUCUGUAAGUUUUCGGUUAAAUCUGUACGCUCAACGUACAGGCUGCCGGGAAUACUGCAGAUCUAGGGAGUGGGAGAGGUAGACGGUACUCGGGAGGAAGUGGUAAAAUGCUUUGAUCUCUCGAUGACCACCUGUGGCGAAGGCGGUCUACCAGAACACGUCCGACGGUGAGGGAUGAAAGCUGGGGGAGCAAACCGGAUUAGAUACCCCAGUAGUCC